rnacentral:rRNA from 1 species
CGUGAGGAACCUGCCUUGGAGAGGGGAAUAACACUCCGAAAGGAGUGCUAAUACCGCAUGAUGCAGUUGGGUCGCAUGGCUCUGACUGCCAAAGAUUUAUCGCUCUGAGAUGGCCUCGCGUCUGAUUAGCUAGUAGGCGGGGUAACGGCCCACCUAGGCGACGAUCAGUAGCCGGACUGAGAGGUUGACCGGCCACAUUGGGACUGAGACACGGCCCAG